GUGGGUAUAGCUCAGUGGUAGAGUGAGUGCUUGGCGUGCACGAGGUCCUGGGUUCAUCCCCAGGACCUUCU
rnacentral:tRNA from 1 species